AUAGUACGCCUGGCAACACUGACUACGACGCACAUAGAGUAAGGCACAAGGGUAACGUGGCAAACGAGACGGCACUUUCAGCCGUAUCUGACUAACCAUAUGCAUGUAAUCAAACUUGUCGUUUACGCAGCGGCUUACGUGAGCGAAUAACUCGCGAACGCGAAGCGGCGCGGCGGCCCACAGCAUUCGCGUUCGCAACGAGAUCGCCCACGUGGGACACUUCAAUAGGUAUCAAAGGAUUGAUUCACCCGCGUAUUAGCGUUCGCGAGUUAAUCGCUCACGUAAGCCGCUGCGUUAGAAGUUUAGUGCAAGAACAUUAGGUCCAGCAAUACUACAUUAAAUUAAGGGUUGGGCGUGAAUAAUUAAUAGACAGACAGAGUUACGUACGCAUUGAUUAUAUAUAAAAAUUAAGUGGAAAACAUAAAUUUUGGUUCGUUGGCGGCUUGAAAUAAUUGAAAAGUUAAAUGGAAUGUGAUAUCUGCUACAAUAAUUGCAUGAAUACAUUAUGUUUCAUGCAAAUUUAUAAAUCUGGUGACUUUUUAACCGACGUUAAGAAAAGGAGGUUAUCAAUUCAAGCGUAUUUCUUGCUGUUACUUCAGAAUUCCGUCAUGAGUAAACCGAUUUGGAAAACUCCUUUUUCAUUGCUAAUGCUCUGAAACUGGGUCAUUGUAGAAAAUGAUACGUUUCUGCACUAGAGCAUUAUGAUAACCAAUUAAAGCCGGUAACUAAUACUCAUUGAGGCAAUUCUAACAAACCCAAACAAUGAGUUUACAUUGUUGUGUCACACAGUUCCCAUGGCUACCUCCUGUCUCCAUCAUCAGAUCAGCUCCAUCAUCUUCCUCGCGCUGUCCCGGCAUUCUACGGCUAAUGGGAACCUGGGGUCCGCUUGGUAAAUAAAAACAGAUCAGCUCCA